rnacentral:rRNA from 1 species
UACGAAGGUGGCAAGCGUUGUUCGGAUUUACUGGGCGUACAGGGAGCGUAGGCGGUUGGGUAAGCCCUCCGUGAAAUCUCCAGGCUUAACCUGGAAAGUGCAGAGGGGACUGCUCGGCUAGAGGAUGGGAGAGGAGCGCGGAAUUCCCGGUGUAGCGGUGAAAUGCGUAGAGAUCGGGAGGAAGGCCGGUGGCGAAGGCGGCGCUCUGGAACAUUUCUGACGCUGAGGCUCGAAAGCGUGGGGAGCAAAC